rnacentral:rRNA from 1 species
UUCGUCCAAUUGAAGCAGAGGACAGUGGCGGACGGGUGAGUAACGCGUGAGGAACCUGCCUUUCAGAGGGGGACAACAUUUGGAAACGAAUGGUAAUACCACAUAACAUUACAUUCUCGCAUGGGGAUGUAAUCAAAGAUUUAUCGCUGAGAGAUGGACUCGCGUCCGAUUAGCUGGAUGGUGAGGUAACGGCCCACCAUGGCGACGAUCGGUAGCCGGACUGAGAGGUUGAACGGCCACAUUGGGACUGAGACACGGCCCAGACUCC